rnacentral:rRNA from 1 species
AACGAACGCUGGCGGCGUGCUUAACACAUGCAAGUCGAACGCGAAAGAAUUCUUCGGAAUUCGAGUAGAGUGGCGCACGGGUGAGUAACGCGUAAAUAAUCUACCCUGAUGUCAGGAAUAACCAGCCGAAAGGCUGACUAAUACCUGGUACAUGAUUAUCUGUCGGGAUAAUCAGGAAAGGAGGCCUCUUCUUGAAAGCUUCCGCAUUGGGAUGAGUUUGCGUACCAUUAGCUGGUUGGUGGGGUAAAGGCCUACCAAGGCAACGAUGGUUAGCGGGUCUGAGAGGAUGAUCCGCCACACUGGAACUGGAACACGGACCAGACUCCUACGGGAGGCAGCAGUGAGGAAUAUUGGACAAUGGGCGAAAGCCUGAUCCAGCGACGCCGCGUGAGUGACGAAGGCCUUCGGGUCGUAAAGCUCUGUCAGAAGGGAAGAAAUGCUAUACGGUUAAUACCCGUAUAGUUUGACGGUACCUUCAAAGGAAGCACCGGCUAAUUUCGUGCCAGCAGCCGCGGUAAUACGAAAGGUGCAAGCGUUAAUCGGAAUUACUGGGCGUAAAGCGCGCGUAGGUGGUUUGGUAAGUUGGGUGUGAAAGCCCCGGGCUUAACCUGGGAAUUGCAUUCAAAACUGCCAGGCUAGAGUACAGUAGAGAGGGGUAGAAUUUCAGGUGUAGCGGUGAAAUGCGUAGAGAUCUGAAGGAAUACCGGUGGCGAAGGCGGCCCCUUGGACUGAUACUGACACUGAGGUGCGAAAGCGUGGGUAGCAAACAGGAUUAGAUACCCUGGUAGUCCACGCCGUAAACGAUGUCAACUAGCCGUUGGAAGACUUGAUCUUUUAGUGGCGCAGCUAACGCAAUAAGUUGACCGCCUGGGGAGUACGGCCGCAAGGUUAAAACUCAAAUGAAUUGACGGGGGCCCGCACAAGCGGUGGAGCAUGUGGUUUAAUUCGAUGCAACGCGAAGAACCUUACCAGGUCUUGACAUCCUCGGAACUUAGCAGAGAUGCUUUGGUGCCUUCGGGAACCGAGUGACAGGUGCUGCAUGGCUGUCGUCAGCUCGUGUCGUGAGAUGUUGGGUUAAGUCCCGUAACGAGCGCAACCCUUGUCCUUAUUUGCCAGCACUUUGGGUGGGAACUCUAAGGAGACUGCCGGUGACAAACCGGAGGAAGGUGGGGAUGACGUCAAGUCAUCAUGGCCCUUACGGGUAGGGCUACACACGUGCUACAAUGGUCGGUACAGAGGGCUGCUAACCCGCAAGGGGGUGCGAAUCUCUUAAAACCGAUCGUAGUCCGGAUUGGAGUCUGCAACUCGACUCCAUGAAGUCGGAAUCGCUAGUAAUCGCAGAUCAGAAUGCUGCGGUGAAUACGUUCCCGGGCCUUGUACACACCGCCCGUCACACCAUGGGAGUUGGCUGUACCAGAAGUCGCUAGUCUAACCUUCGGGAGGACGGCGCCCACGGUAUGGUCAAUGACUGGGGUG